rnacentral:rRNA from 1 species
AGCGAACGUUUGCGGCGGGCUUAACACAUGCAAGUCGAACGAGAAUCCCUUCGGGGAGGAAAGUGGCGCACGGGUGCGUAACACGUGGAUAACCAACCCAUUGGUUUGGGACAACACCGGGAAACUGGUGCUAAUACCAGAUGUGUCGCAGCUGUCUUCAGGCGGUUGCGAGAAAGGCCCGCAAGGGUCGCCAACGAACGGGUCCGCGUCCCAUCAGCUAGUUGGUGAGGUAAUGGCUCACCAAGGCAAAGACGGGUAGCUGGUCUGAGAGGAUGAUCAGCCACACUGGAACUGAGACACGGUCCAGACUCCUACGGGAGGCAGCAGUGGGGAAUAUUGCGCAAUGGGCGAAAGCCUGACGCAGCCACGCCGCGUGAGCGAUGAAGGUCUUCGGAUCGUAAAGCUCGUGGUAGGGGGAGAAGAAGAAAGCCGGUAGAAGA